rnacentral:rRNA from 1 species
AACGAACGCUGGCGGCAUGCUUAACACAUGCAAGUCGAACGAGACCUUCCGUGCUUGCGGCGCACGGGUGCUUAACGCCUGGUAACUUGCCCUUAGGUUCUCAAUCACUUCCUGAAAGGUGUGCUUAUACCACUUAAUCUCUUCGCACCUAAGAUGUACCGCCUUUGGAUGGGUCCGCGUUGUAUUUGGUAGCUGGUAGGGUUCACGCCUACUUAGGCGACGAUCCAUAUCUGGUCUGAGAAGAGGAUCAGCGACACUGGGACUGGGACAAGGCCCAGACUGGUACGAGAGGCAGCAGUGGGGAAUAAUGGACAAUGGGCGAGAGGCUGAUCCAGCAAUGGCGCGUGAGUGAUGAAGGCCUUAGAGUUGUAAUGCGCUAUUGCCCGAGAUGAUAAUGACAGUACCGGGAGAAUAAGCUCCGGCUAACUACGUG